CGCACAUUGCGCCCCUUGGUAUUCCAUUGGGCAUGCCUGUUCGAGCGUCAUAUGCCGCCUCAAGCAUCGUCUUGGUAUUGGGUGUUGUUGCGUCUCUAUGCAACUCGCCCCAAAGCUAUUGGUUAUAGCUACCUGGCUCUACGUGCAGCACAUUUGCACGGAAGCUCGUGUAGCUAAUACGCCACAAAUGCCCUUUUGUCUGACCUCGAAUCAGGUAGGAAUACCCGCUGAACUUAA
rnacentral:misc_RNA from 1 species